rnacentral:rRNA from 1 species
AAAAGAAACUAACAAGGAUUCCCCUAGUAACUGCGAGUGAAGCGGGAAAAGCUCAAAUUUAAAAUCUGGUAGUCUUUGGCUGCCCGAGUUGUAAUCUAGAGAAGCGUUGUCCGCACUGGACCGUGUAUAAGUCUCCUGGAAUGGAGCGUCAUGGAGGGUGAGAAUCCCGUCUUUGACACGGACUGCCAGAGCUUUUGUGACAUGCUCUCAAAGAGUCGAGUUGUUUGGGAAUGCAGCUCUAAAUGGGUGGUAAAUUCCAUCUAAAGCUAAAUAUUGGCGAGAGACCGAUAGCGAACAAGUACCGUGAGGGAAAGAUGAAAAGAACUUUGGAAAGAGAGUUAAACAGUACGUGAAAUUGUUGAAAGGGAAACGCUUGAAGUCAGUCGCAUUGACCAGGGAUCAACCUUGCUCUUUUGCUUGGUGUACUUUCUGGACAAUGGGUCAGCAUCAAUUUCGACCARUGGAAAAAGGACAAGGGAAUGUGGCAUCUUCGGAUGUGUUAUAGCUCUUGAUCGUAUACAUUGGUUGGGAUUGAGGAACUCAGCACGCCGCAAGGCCGGGUUUUCAACCACGUCCGUGCUUAGGAUGCUGGCAUAAUGGCUUUAAUCGACCCGUCUUGAACNACGGACCA